AAUACGACCGUACCGCAAACCGACACUGGUGCGCGAGAUGAGUAUUCUAAGGCGCUUGAGAGAACUCAGGAGAAGGAACUCGGCAAAUUGACACCGUAACUUCGGAAGAAGGUGUGCCCUAUUAGUGUGUAGUGAACAACGAAGCAUGAAUGGGUUGCAAAAAAUCGGUGGCUGCGACUGUUUAUUAAAAACACAGCACUCUGCAGACACGAAAGUGGACGUAUAGGGUGUGACGCCUGCCCGGUGCUGGAAGAUUAAAUGAUGGGGUGCAAGCUCUUGAUUGAAGUCCCAGUAAACGGCGGCCGUAACGAUAACGGUCCUAAGGUAGCGAAAUUCCUUGUCGGGUAAGUUCCGACCUGCACGAAUGGCGUAACGAUGGCCACACUGUCUCCUCCUGAGACUCAGCGAAGUUGAAAUGUUUGUGAUGAUGCAAUCUCCCCGCGGAAAGACGGAAAGACCCCAUGAACCUUUACUGUAGCUUUGUAUUGGACUUUGAACAGAUCUGUGUAGGAUAGGUGGGAGGCUUUGAAGCAGGGUCGCUAGAUCUUGUGGAGCCAACGUUGAAAUACCACCCUGGUGUGUUUGAGGUUCUAACCUAGGUCCAUUAUCUGGAUCGGGGACAGUGCAUGGUAGGCAGUUUGACUGGGGCGGUCUCCUCCCAAAGCGUAACGGAGGAGUUCGAAGGUACGCUAGUUACGGUCGGACAUCGUGACGAUAGUGCAAUGGCAUAAGCGUGCUUAACUGCGAGACUGACAAGUCGAGCAGAUGCGAAAGCAGGACAUAGUGAUCCGGUGGUUCUGUAUGGAAGGGCCAUCGCUCAACGGAUAAAAGGUACUCUGGGGAUAACAGGCUGAUACCGCCCAAGAGUUCAUAUCGACGGCGGUGUUUGGCACCUCGAUGUCGGCUCAUCUCAUCCUGGGGCUGUAGCCGGUCCCAAGGGUAUGGCUGUUCGCCAUUUAAAGAGGUACGUGAGCUGGGUUUAAAACGUCGUGAGACAGUUUGGUCCCUAUCUUCCGUGGGCGCUGCAGAUUUGAGGAAGCCUGCUCCUAGUACGAGAGGACCGGAGUGGACACACCUCUGGUGUAUCGGUUGUCACGCCAGUGGCAUUGCCGAGUAGCUAAGUGUGGAAGAGAUAACCGCUGAAAGCAUCUAAGCGGGAAACUCGUUUCAAGAUGAGAUCUGCCGGGGCCUUGAGCCCCCUAAAGAGUCGUUCAAGACCAGGACGUUGAUAGGUCAGGUGUGGAAGC
rnacentral:rRNA from 1 species